rnacentral:rRNA from 1 species
GACAGAGGGUGCAAACGUUGUUCGGAUUUACUGGGCGUAAAGGGCGCGUAGGCGGCUUGACAAGUCCCGGGUGAAAUCCCUCGGCUCAACCGAGGAACUGCCUUGGAAACUGUCUGGCUUGAGGCCGGGAGAGGGUAGUGGAAUUCCCAGUGUAGCGGUGAAAUGCGUAGAUACUGGGAGGAACACCGGUGGCGAAGGCGGCUACCUGGACCGGUUCUGACGCUGAGGCGCGAAAGCGUGGGUAGCAAACAGG